AGGUUUUGUUUCUCUCUUCUCAAUCCUGUUCUGGGAGUCAGACCCAAAUCACUCUAACUUCUUACCGUUUCAAGACAUUUAUUUUCCAUAUUUUACUGCAUGGAGCAGCAGAAAUUAAGAGUUGGGCAUAUGAGAUUGCAUUACACAAUUGUUUUUGUGUUGGACUUCUGAUUUUCUGAGAUGCAAAAUUCUCGUUUCUUAUACUACAUCCCAGUUUCCUGGAGAUCUUUUUCUGUUCAAUUCCUAAGGUUAUGCUGAAACCUAAUCAGGCUAUCAUGUCUUUUGGCAUUCUUGUCUUCUUGGGAUUGCACUACACAAAUAUUCUUCAUUUGAAUAUAGGGUCAUCCAAUCUUCAUUGUUGUUCAUCAGUCUAUCUUCUCAUGAAUGAAUUCAUAUCUACAGGUUCACUGUUUAUUUAUAUUAAUACCUGCUAGUCUUGUUUUGAUAUUACUGACUGGGCAUUUCUUUUUUGGGGUCGUAGUGGAGCUGAAAUUGGACGAUUUGUUGCCAUGCUACGAAAUCCCUCUUCU
rnacentral:misc_RNA from 1 species